rnacentral:rRNA from 1 species
CGGAAACAUGUCUAGCUUGCUAGAUGAUGUCGAGUGGCGGACGGGUGAGUAAUACUUAGGAACAUGCCUUUGGGUGGGGGAUAACUAUUGGAAACGACUGCUAAUACCGCAUAACGUCUACGGACCAAAGGGGGGGAUCUUCGCCCCUCCCGCCAUGUGCUUAGCCCAAGUGAGAUUAUGUAGUGGGAAAGGUUAUGGCUUACCAAGGCGACGAUCUCUACCUGGAUUGAGAGGAUGAUCAGCCACACUGGGACUGAGACACGACUCCAGACUCCUACGGGAGGCAGCAAAGGGGAAUAUUGCACAAUGACCCGAAAGCCUGAUGCAGCCAUGCCGCGUGUGUGAAGAAGGCCUUCGGGUUGUAAAGCACUUUCAGUAAGGAGGAAAGGGUAGUCGUUAAUAGCGGCUGUCUGUGACGUUACUUACAGAAGAAGCUCCGUCUAACUUCGUGCCAGCAGCCGCGGUAAUACGAGGAGUGCAAGCGUUAAUCGGAAUUACUGGGCGUAAAGCGUUCGUAGGCGGUUGAAUAAUGUGAAUGUGAAAGCCUAGGGCUCAACCUUGGAACUGCAUUUUGAACUGUUCAACUA